rnacentral:rRNA from 1 species
UACGGAGGGGGCUAGCGUUGUUCGGAAUUACUGGGCGUAAAGCGCGCGUAGGCGGCUUGUAAGUCAGAGGUGAAAUCCCGGGGCUCAACUCCGGAACUGCCUUUGAAACUGCAUCGCUUGAAUCCGGGAGAGGUGAGUGGAAUUCCGAGUGUAGAGGUGAAAUUCGUAGAUAUUCGGAAGAACACCAGUGGCGAAAGGCG